GGCGUAGUGGGCACUGCGCUCGCCUUGCAAGCGAGAGACCCGGGUUCGAUUCUCGGCGGCGUCA
rnacentral:tRNA from 1 species